rnacentral:rRNA from 1 species
UACGUAGGGUCCGAGCGUUGUCCGGAUUUAUUGGGUUUAAAGGGUGCGUAGGCGGCUUUGUAAGUCAGUGGUGAAAUAUGGCAGCUCAACUGUCAGGGUGCCAUUGAUACUGCGGAGCUUGAGUACAGAUGAGGUAGGCGGAAUUGACGGUGUAGCGGUGAAAUGCUUAGAUAUCGUCAAGAACACCGAUAGCGAAGGCAGCUUACUAGGCUGUAACUGACGCUGAGGCACGGAAAAGUGUGGGGAUCAAACAGG